rnacentral:misc_RNA from 1 species
UCAAGUCUAUCCUUUGUGCAUAAAGCCCCUGGCAUACUACCACAUCCUUUAGCCUACUCUCGCGCAUUACUUUGGGGAGGCAAGGCCCUGUGCCAAGGAGCGCAUUUCGCUGGCACUCUUUAAGCAGUGCUGACGGAAAGGCGUUCGGAAGAUGAGGGACAAAAGAAGUGAUUUUGUUCGCGCCCCUCUCAUACUUAGCUGGCGACGUCACACCCUAGAGCCACUUUUACGUCGAUACGGAGAAAAUGGACUUGGCAGACAACUCGAUGUGGACGCUAGUCGAGGAGGCUGUCAUUGAAGAUAGGGGGGAAGACGAGGAGGAGGUUCUAGCGCAAAUGGUACGCUCGUAUCUCGCGCGGAGAGGCCUGACAGACACUCUCGCCGCCUUUGACGAGGAGCACCAGUGCUACAGGGGCUCAUCGACGGCUCCACACAAUCGCGAUCCAGGUGCACCCAGGCCGUCAGUGAAUGCCGAGGUUCUUGGUUCCACGCCGGCCACAGAUCGCGCUAGUGCGGGUUCUGCCCCCCCUCGCGAUGAAACUAGCGCUGGGAUGGACAAACGCAAGGCGGCGCAGCUGCUUUGUCUGCAGAAGAGGUACGAGGCGGCGGCUGCGCUCAUGGAGCCGUCGUCACUUGCGCGCAUUCGCCUUCUGUGCAUUCAGGCGCAGAGCCUAGAAGACAGGCCCACGGCUGUCUUUUACCUGGCGACCCACGUCGCACCUCUCGUCCCGUUUUGCAUUGAUCCUACGAUGGGCCACAGAGUGUACACCGCUGCCCUGAGUAACGUGCUAAGUCCGUGCCGGGAGAGGUCUAUUCCUGACACGGAGCUGCUCGCGAGGGAGGUGAACGACGAGUUGUGCGGCCGUGAGCAGCGCAGUAGCCUUCACGUGUUGUUCAAUUGGGCGUACUGGCAGGAAACGUCGAACGCCGCCUGAUGUACGAAAGCGUCUUUGUACGAGAGAACGGCGGCAGACUUUUUGGUGGAGGCGUCUGCACUGCGAGUGUCGUCGAAUCAACCUCUUCUCUUGCAUAGCAGACAUCUUUUUUCCUCUCGUUGGGGGUGUGAUGUGGCCGUGGCGCAACUACUGCUGUACAUGUUGUGUAUUCACGCCGCUGUAGCGCUUUCCUGUUGUUGGUAUCUUUUUGUGUGCGAGCUUGCUUGCGUCACUCUGUACCUGGAAACGGCGAUACAAACAGAGCAUGCUAGGGGAGGGGCCCAGAGCUAGUCACCCAAGCCAUGUAUCUACUCUCUCUCUCUUAGUUUUUAUUUUUGUAUGGCGAGUGAAACAGAUGCGAGUUGCUCGCGUUGCCUUCUCCCCACACGCUAGCACUCUCUUCUUUGUUCUCCUCUUCAAGAUUUCGAAUGUGCCGCGGGGACUCUUUUUUCUUGACGCAGCACAGGCACACAAAAGCAGGUGAAUCUGUGGAUGUCCUAGUGCUCGUACACUCUUUCUCUCUGUCAUCGCUGGUUGGGGCAGGUGCCGUGGGCCCCAACAAGAGCGCUGGCAGACCGCGGCCAUGAAUGCUGCCGGUUCUGCAAUCAUGCGGGUGCGCGUUGCGGUAACGCAGACCUCUUC